UACGUAGGAGGCAAGCGUUGUCCGGAAUUACUGGGCGUAAAGCGCGUGUAGGUGGUGGGACAAGUCUGCUGUGAAAGCGCCUGGCUUAACCGGGCGAGGUCGGCGGAAACUGUCCGACUCGAGGACGGUAGAGGGGGGUGGAAUUCCCGGUGUAGUGGUGAAAUGCGUAGAGAUCGGGAGGAACACCGGUGGCGAAGGCGGUUCUCUGGGCCUUACCUGACGCUGAGGAGCGAAAGCAUGGGGAGCGAACAGG
rnacentral:rRNA from 1 species